rnacentral:tRNA from 1 species
GCGCGGUUGGCGAAAUUGGCAAACGCUCUGGAUUUAGGUUCCAGCGCCGCAAGGCUUGCGGGUUCAAGUCCCGCACCGCGCACCA